UAAUACGUAGGGUGCAGGCGUUAAUCGGAAUUACUGGGCGUAAAGCGUGCGCAGGCGGUUUGCUAAGACAGGUGUGAAAUCCCCGGGCUUAACCUGGGAACUGCGCUUGUAACUGGCAAGCUAGAGUGUGGCAGAGGGGGGUGGAAUUCCAGGUGUAGCAGUGAAAUGCGUAGAGAUCUGGAGGAACACCGAUG
rnacentral:rRNA from 1 species